UUUUAAAGGAAUCAGAACCAAAGGAGAAGAGACCAAGAGGUAGGCCAAAGGGAAGUGUAAGCAAGUCACCCAAGAAGUCACAAACACAGAAAGAUACCAGUGGUGCCAAACGAGGACGGGGAAGACCUAGGAAACGACCAGUGGAGGAAGUAGUUGAGGAGGCAGAGGAGGAAGCUGGAGCUGAGGAUGAUGAGUAAGAUGGACCAUACAUCAGAUUAGAGGAGAAAACAGUGGUCUCUAAAGUUCAUCUUCAUUCUCCUAAAGGAUCAUUGGAGUCAAAGUAUGAGAGCCUUCUAACCCUAGGAAUAAAAUGUUAUUCCCAACAAUCAUAAAAAUUCAGUGUAUUGUAAAUUGAAAUGGAAAAGAUAUUUUCUUUAUUAAAAAAAAAGAGAAGAAAAAUAUGGGGUCAUCGUCAUCCACUAGAUGCAAUACAUGAUCUUCAACAUGCAUGAUUAUUACAUGUUUUAAACUUGUCCUACUUACAUGUAAGUAUUGGAUUGGGUACCCGUUAUGCAAAGCAUUGCUAGGUGUACCAGACCUUUCAAUGCGAAUUGAUUUAUACUGUUGAGUUUUUGAAAUUAUAUUACAUUAAAUUCUAACAAAACAUGCUUUUGUAUGUGUUUAAUGGGAAAUUUUGAUCUUGGAAUAUAUCAAUUUUAUUCAAUUUAUCAAAGUGAUGGUGAAAGGCUUUUUAUAUCAGUAUUCUAGUGAUCAGAAGACAGGAGAAUUUUAAGAAAAUGAGGGAAAAUAUUCUCUCCCAUAAGACCAUUGAUUUAAAAAUGUAAAUAAUCAUGUACAUGUAUUCGUCAUUUCAAUUGUGUUUUUGUAAAUUACGUGUUUUUCUUGUGACAGACAUUCAGUUAACAACUUAUAUUUUUGUUUGAUAGCUAGUGUUUUUAUAUAUAUUCAUCACAAUGAAAUAAAAUAUGUUGACCAGAUAAAAAUAAUAGUCUAAGUAAUGCUUACAUAAAUUGUCUUUAAUUUUUUUUCUUCAAAAUACCAUUUCUUUCUAUCAUGUUGUAUUCUGCCCAGUAUAAUAAUAUUAUGCUUAAUACUAGUGAGGGUGUGUUUGCAUUAUCAUUUGAAAUAAAUUUGGAAACAUUGCAAUGCUAAAUUAUUGAUUGACAAUAACAACAAAUGAUUUAUAACCAUGCAUUAUCACAGCAGGUUUUUUGGUUGCCAUGGCAAUGCCACUAUCAAAACCUUAGCAGUAAAAGACAGAUGAUCGGACAAGGGAAAUUUGUAAUACCUAUCAUGAAUUCAUCAUGCAAAAAUACAAUCACUUUCCUCAUAUUCAAAGGAAGAUUUAGUAUUUAAAUUACGUCUGCGAGUCUGUUGCUUACAUCAUUGCUUUGAAAUCUGGAUUGAAAUCUUGAUAAAAGAAGGAUACCAUGGUACUGUAUCAAUAAAGAAUACCUGUAUAUCUGAUGUGAAAUUCUCUAGUAUUUGAGUUAUCUUAUUCACCUAGGUCAAAAUCAAAUAAUACUUGUUUGUUUGUAUAGUAAAACUUUUGUUUAUGCAGUCAAAUUCAUUUUUCAAUUAAUUUGCUUUGUUUGAUCUGCACUAUUGUCCUCUUGAAUUCAAAAUGUUGUAAUUUUGAUGUUGAAGAUUCUAUGCAUAAAUCUGAGAAAAAAUAUGUAGUAAUGGAGCUUUUCCAUUGUUUUUCUCUACCCCAGAAAUCUGGUAGCAAGGUUAAUAUGAACAGAUUACAAACUGAUAUUACUAAUCUUGAUCUAUAAUUGUUUGAAAAAGAAAACUUAUGGAAUAAAUUCAAACAUGAUUUGACUCAUUUAAAUCUCUUACAGGCAAUGAUAUAUCCAUAAAUGAUCAGACACCCUUUCAUCAAUUUUGAAUUGAAUCAUAUUGGUUGUGGUACUCUUUGAUAUUUUGUGGUGGUGUUCACAAAUAAUUUGGUCUUGUUCAGUUUCUGUUGUUAUAUUCAAAGCAAAUGUAAUGUGAACAUGUCUACCUCACUUAAAUAGGGGUGCUCUUGGCAUACCUCAUGCUUAAGAGAAAGAAAUGCAAUAGUUCAUAAGGAUUUAUUUUGAUGAAUAAUGAGACAAUUGAGCCAAUCAAAAUUAAAAGAUGAAUUACGAAUCAGUGAAUGUUUAUUUUGAAGUUCCUUGGAAUUGUGUAGUGCAAACGUAUUUGUGUAAAGCAAAAGCCAUUAAUCACAACUCAGUAUGAAUGUUGAAAUGAUGAUCAUCUACCAAGUUAAGAGUUACAUGUGAAAUAUGAUGUUGAACAGUUAUGCUGCAGUGUCACUAAACUUGAACCAGUUGUGUGUAUUGCUAAUACUAUAGUCAAAGAAAAGCGUGCUGUGGAAGUAGGAUCUUGUUUUGUCUGUCUCCUUCAAAAUCAUUUCAAUAUUGCACCGAUGUCAUGGGUUUUUGUAAUCAACAUUUUUGUAUAUGAUUGAAGCAGUGCAAAAUAUUCAUUGCCAAAUUGAAUUAUUUUGAAGUACCGAGAUUACAAAUGGCUGUAUGGUCUCACAUAUAUCCCUCUGUCAGUAGACAUUUGGUAUAAGCAUGAGAUCUUUGAUCUCUGUCUUUAAUCAAAUCAAUGUUAUUAAUGUGUUUUUAGGGAUUUUGAAUGUUGUUAUGUGGGUCAUUUUUCCAAUUCUUCUAUUGUGAUUUUAUUCAGAUUUGUUCAUCACCUCCAUAUGGUGUAUUCAAAUGAUGCCCACACUUAGUUCGUAGAUUGUUCAAUGAACAAAUGAAAACUUGCAUCUUUUGAUUUAUGCAAUGACUCUUACAUUUCCUGGUAUUUGAUAAAAUAGAAAAAAAAACUCCCACAAUUCAUGAUUUAACAAAAAUGCAAGCGCGAGGGCUUGAUUUGAUAUGCUGAUCUUAUAGGUGAAUGUUGAUAAUUUGUUUCAAAGGAGUAUUCUUUUCUUGUUUAAAAGCUGCUGUAUGCUCUCUUUGUGUGUUGUAUUUCUUAGAGUGCAUUUAUCAUACAAACUCAGAAGUGUUAUUUAUGAUACACCCAUUGGUAUUGUGAGGGGAUUGCUGCAAGCACUUUAUACCAGUGUUUAACUCAUGGUGUUAAACAACUUUUCAACACUAAUUUAGUGUCAAAUUCAAACUCUAUGGCCCAUAUUCUGAACUCGGGUUUAAAUUAAACCCUGGUUUAAAGUUGUGGUUUAACUAUGGAGAGCCAAUUGGAGCACAAAUCCCUAACAGUACACAUUCAAUUUAUUAACUCAUAUGACAUCCAAAUUGUUCAUAAUUGUCUGGGAAUGAUUACUGAAGUAUUUUCUUCAUUAAGAAAGCAAAAGGAAUCAAAAUAGUCAACAUAAGAAAUAUACAAUAUAAACAGAAUUUUCGAAUUUUUGGCUCUCCAUAAUUUUAGCGCAGAGUUAGACCGUGGUCUAAGUUAUACCCGACUUCAAAAUAUGGGCCAAAGGGUUUGUUUUCAACACUUGAGGGUACAAUCCUCUCACAACAUCAUAUCGAUGUUUUUAGCGUUGUCUCCUUGUAUCUGCUUGUCAUCUAAUGUGAUAAAUUUGUAAACCAAGAAGUAUUAUUAAUGCAAAUGAAUCUAAUUUAUAAUAACUGUCAUGAAUUGCCCUAAAUUCAAUGAAAUGAAUGUUUAAUUUCUGAUUGAAAAAUCGUGUUACUUAGCUGUACAGUUGGUUGUGUAUUCAAAGCUUUUGUGUGUUGGGUCAACUUCUUUUCAUAGGCCUGAUUGCACAAAUGAGGUUUAAACCCCUCCCGGUUUUGGUUUUAUAUUCUAAGCAUGUCUCACAUACUGAAUCUAUUAAAGCUUCAUUUGUAAUUGUUUGGUUUAGGUGUGCAUAUGAGUAAUAUGUGCUCAUUUUGCUUAUUUUUACUCGACUUCAAAACAUUUGAUGGGAAUAUAAGUCCUUUUGGUUUAAUCCACUUUUGAGUAUUCUGGCCUCAGUGUUUACUACCUGUAUAUCUGUUAUUUACUAGGAUAUUUGAAAGCACUCAUCAUUUCGUCCAUAAAAAUGUCAACCAUUGAAAAAAAAAUUUAUGAUUAAAAAAAAGACCAAGGGUAUAUGAAUUUAACCUGACCAUUUAACCUGACCAUUUUCGCCAUUGAUGUGGGAAGUGUACCUGUAUUUAAAUGUAAUUAAAGAACAGAAAUUACCAAAAGUCUUUAAUUCUGCUCUUACAAUCGCCACAUACAAAUUCUUUCAUAUCGUGCUUAAAAUCUGAAAGGUAUAUUUUGGCCUAAAAACAAUAUGAGGAUGUGCAUGUAGGUUUGCAUGUAUAAUUGAGUGAUUGUUUAUCUUAGUUUGAAUGGUCCAAUUAUGACAUGAAAUGUAAUUUGUAGUGUGAUGUUUCAAUGUAGGGAUAGUAAUUUUUCUUUCUGAACAUUUGAUGUAUUUUCUGUGUACUAUAGUGCUUGUGAACAGCUUUUUUUUUUACAUUUAAAAAUGUUUUGUGACAAUGCCAAUUUUACAUGUUUUUUAAAAAUAAAUGUGUACUGUUUCAGUA